GAGACUGGGAAAUGUAGUCUUCCUUGAUGCCAGGAAGUGAUGAGUGAGCAUCUUCUUAAGAACAGAGUCUUGUUAGAAACAGAAUGCACUAGUGUAUUUCAAAAUGCUUCCUUUCCUUUCCCCCUGCCAGAAGCAUGUGGGAAUUUUUCUCCCAAUAUUCACUUUAAGGACCCAGUCAAUCACCUGGUAGUAAAGCUCACAAAAAUAUGGGCACUGCUUCCUCCAUGACUGGGCACCCCUGGAGCUUUUGAUUCUCAGAAUGGUUCUCAUUGAGUCUCCAGCAAUCUGUCCAUUUCAAUUCUGGUUUUCCUAUUCCCACACUGGUUCCUAAGGAGGUUUCUGUUCGAGGGCUCCUGCUUUGGAAGCCAGCUACCACGUCAUGAGGAUAACCAGGCAACCCUCUGGAGAAGCCCACACUGCGUGGAACUAAGGCCUCUUCCCCACAUUUGUGUGAGCGUGCCAUCUUGGAAGCAGAUUCAACCAAGACAACACAGCCAUAGCCAUCAUCUACACCACAGCCAGACCCUGAGCCAGAACAGCCUAGCUAAACGGCCUCUGAAAUCUUAACCUACCAACAUGGCAAGAUAGUAAAAAAUUGGUGUUUAAGUCA